UUGCCUUGAGGCAAUGGCCCCACAGCGGGUCUGUAGCUCAGCUGGUUAGAGCACCGUCUUGAUAAGGCGGGGGUCGUUGGUUCGAGCCCAACCAGACCCACCACGCCAGCAAGGGGGCCGUAGCUCAGCUGGGAGAGCGGCGGCUUUGCAAGCCGUAGGUCGUCGGUUCGAUCCCGAUCGGCUCCACCAAGCCCCCUGUACGAGCAUUCAGGCAUGCCUCCACUUCGGAGACAUGCCUGAAUGCUUGGUGAAGUAAGAAACAUCGAGCUGCUCUUUAACAAUUUGGAAGAAGUCAUGUCGCC
rnacentral:tRNA from 1 species